AAAAUAAAGGGAUUAAAAAAAAACUGAUUGUCAAUUAUUAUUAAAAAAAAAAAGAAAAAGACAUACGGCCUUGUAAUUGGUCCUGAUAUUUGACCCUGCAGUUUAUUUCAGCAUCUCCACUUUUUAAUUAACAUUUAUUAUUUCCAUAAUUAUCCUUAUUAUUCAUUUUUUUUCUCUCUCAUCAUUCUCUGUCUCAAUCUCUUCUUUU
rnacentral:lncRNA from 1 species